GUCCACGCCCUAAACGAUGUCAACUGGUUGUUGGGAGGGUUUCUUCUCAGUAACGAAGCUAACGCGUGAAGUUGACCGCCUGGGGAGUACGGCCGCAAGGUUGAAACUCAAAGGAAUUGACGGGACCCGCACAAGCGGUGGAUGAUGUGGUUUAAUUCGAUGCAACGCGAAAACCUUACCUACCCUUGACAUGUCUGUAAUCCCGAAGAGAUUUGGGAGUGCUCGAAAGAGAGCCAGAACACAGGUGCUGCAUGGCCGUCGU
rnacentral:rRNA from 1 species